ensembl:lincRNA
UCCCAAAUCCACCGGAAGUUCCAGGAAUCUUCCCGGAAAUCAGUGUCCCCUCCCUGACUCCCGCAAGUGAUCCAUAAUUUACCUGAAAUCGCCCCCCCCCGCUUCCAAAUGUUUCUGUUGGCGACACCCCCAUUCCAACAAAUCAUCAGCGAAGAAUUUAGUUAUAUAACAUGACCUUGAGGCAUCUGAGAAAGUGAGAUUAUUCAACUGGACUGCCUACCACUGUCCUCCCAGCAAGCACGGCCUUUCUCCAUCGCAGUCGCCGCAUCUAGGGAGUCGACAGCGCCUGAAAACCAGGGGCGACGCGCACGCAGCAAGGUGUGGGACAUGGAGGGGAAAACAACCCUGAUCCACAAGGUACUUCAGAACAUCCUCGUUCAGCCUGGACGCACCGUGCACAGGCACUGUUUUCAAUCAGAGAUCGCCUGUUUUCCCGGGAUUAGACCCCUGUGGCUGGAAAACAACCUGACUGAGGCAAAAUACACCGUCACACAUGGGGAUUUUACACUUGAGAGGAACAGCGUCCCUUUUCCUCCCGUGCAGUAUGACGGUCGAGGCCCAUCUCCGGCGCACCGUGGCUGUGCUCGGGCCCCGAGACUCUCCUUCAGCCUGUGCGGAGCCAUCAGAUUGUUAGAAAAGUAAAUCGGGGAGACGGAGCACUAACGCACUCGGCCGUGACUUGUUCAGAAGAGAAAAGAAACUCAUUGGAUUCCCAUGGAAAAUGAGCUGUCCACACUCGCUAGUUUAAUCUUUAUUUUUGUUGGAGUGUGAGAGAGACAGGAUUUUAACACCAUGCGAACAACGCCAGAGUCGCAGACUUCACGCCAUCUGUCUCCCCCGCGGUCCUCAGCUUGCCAAAUUUAUCAGGAUUUUUUUAAAAUCUUUAUUCAUGUUUGUAAGUAUUUUGAGGGAGUUGCAUUAGGAUAUUUCUCUUCUGUCCUUUAGCUGAAGUAAAAUGUAUUUCCACAACUUAAAAUAUAUUUAACCCUUCUUAACUUAACGCACCGCCAAUUAUCCAUUCAGCACAUUAAUAGUAGAAUAAAAUUAAUUGUAUCCAGAUAAUUGACCCACAGCUUAUCAUCCAGUCUAUCACAAUAAUUAGAAAAGACAAGCACUGUAGGACUGAUACAUGGGUCUGAGUGAAAGAGAUAAGCAUAUUUUGUAGAUACGCAAAGACGAUACAAAAAUGAGUUACUCUAAACACAGUGUGGUUACGGGUCAAGUAAAGUGUCCUGUGACUCAGCACAUCUUAAUUAAAUGAUGACAAUUAGAACAGAAAGCUUCUCUAAGAUGUGUUGAUCUAUAUAAAUGAUGUACAGUACUAGCACACAGUAACACAUAACAUACAGACAUUGCAUGAAGGCUGGUAGUUGUUUAUGACGUUCAUUAGUAAAAGUAAAUAAUGCAAACCUUUCAUGUAAUAAGUCAUGCAUUAAACAUUUACUAGUGCAAAGAGUCUUUCAUUAAUGAUGUCAUAAUAUACCCCUAUAUAAAGUACUGCCAACGUUUGCAUGAGGUACAACAAACCCCCAAUCAUACUGUAAAGGAGGAAAGUAGAAGAAAAUAGAGGGAUAAGACGUUUUAACACUCUUGUGUUAAACAAGGGCAAUGCUGUGAGAUUACAUUUAUGGCUCUGAUCAUUGCAAAAAAAAAACUUGGGGCUUCCAGACAAUACUUCUGCCAGCCUGAAAAAAAACAGGCCUGGUCCUGUUCACUGUGUCUCGACUUUGAAUCCAUAUCUGGUUUUACUGGAAUUUGUUCUUCCCCGACACCUUCUGAGAUCAUAAGAAGUAAAAGGCGGCUAUUUGCCCCAUCUUCUUUGGUUGCUGGUAGUUUACCGAUGCAAGAAAUUCCAGGACUCCACAUAAAGGCUCAAUGUUUUUUUCUGCCUUGAAGAUUGCCACCCUGCUUAGAAAUGAGCUAUAGCACUGAGCUACGGCAUUCGUGCAUAUUUCCCUUUUGUAUCGUAAUAACUGCCACUGUUACUCUGCACUUUCAUAGUGACCCAUUUAUAACGUGA